rnacentral:rRNA from 1 species
GAAAUAAGAUUUUAAAUGAGUGCUAAGAGAAUGAUUAAACAAUUAAAAGCUUUCUUUAAUUAAAAAAUUAAAUUUAAUUUUUUAGUGCAAAAGCAAAAAUAAAAUUUAGGGACAAGAAGACCCUAUGAAUUUUUAUUGUUAAUAAUUAAUAUUUAAGUUAUUAAUAAUUUAAUUGGGGUGAUAAAAAAAGAAUAAGUAUCUUUUUAGUUAUAAAAUAAGUUCCGUUUUUAGCGAUUAAAUGAAAUAAAUACUCUAGGGAUAACAGCGUAAUAAUUUUGGAUAGUUCAUAUAGAUAAAAUAGUUUGCGACCUCGAUGUUGGAUUAGGAUUCUU